CGGGCUGUAGCUCAGUGGUAGAGCUGGCGGCUGUAGACCGCUAGGUCGUGGGUUCGAAUCCCACCGGCCCGA
rnacentral:tRNA from 2 species